rnacentral:lncRNA from 10 species
CGAAAACUGCGUUUUCUUCUUGAGUUCCGUGUUUCAGGGAGAGAAUCGUGAAGAAACAGACUAAAGGACUUUGUUGCAAGCUACAGUCAUGAAGAAGGACACGCUCUGCACCAGUCCCCGGCGCUGCCUGCGGCAUCUGAUUCUGCCGGCGCUGCCCGCUUAGCUUAUGGGUAUGCAGAAGAUCUGCAUCAUGGUUCCUGCUGAAGAAGGGAGUGUGUGGCUGUGUGUGUGUGGCUGUGUGUGUGUGCGUGUGCACAGGCAUGCACACACCUGUGUUUACAUGAACACAUAUGAAUACAGUGUAUGUGUACACACACAAACACGUGUGUGCAUGUGAGGUACAUGCAUGUGCACAUUUGCUUACAUGUACGUGUGUGUGUGCACGUGCAUACACAUGUGCGAUUGGCAAGUGUGUGCAUGCAUAUGUAUAUGGGCACAUAUAUGUACAGGCAUGUAUGCACGUUUGUGUGUUUGGUGUGUCUAUAUAUGUACGUGUAUAUGGCCACACACGGAUACAGGUAUGUAUACACCUGUGCAUGCACGCUUGCCCAGACACACAACUGCACACCUCCCUGCCCUGCACCCUGCCUUUGGGCUCUCCAUCGUUG